rnacentral:rRNA from 1 species
UGGGGAAUUUUGGACAAUGGGGGAAACCCUGAUCCAGCCAUCCCGCGUGUGCGAUGAAGGCCUUCGGGUUGUAAAGCACUUUUGGCAGGAAAGAAACGUCGCGGGUUAAUACCCCGCGAAACUGACGGUACCUGCAGAAUAAGCACCGGCUAACUACGUGCCAGCAGCCGCGGUAAUACGUAGGGUGCAAGCGUUAAUCGGAAUUACUGGGCGUAAAGCGUGCGCAGGCGGUUCGGAAAGAAAGAUGUGAAAUCCCAGAGCUUAACUUUGGAACUGCAUUUUUAACUACCGGGCUAGAGUGUGAAUCAGAGGGAGGUGGAAUUCCGCGUGUAGCAGUGAAAUGCGUAGAUAUGCGGAGGAACACCGAUGGCGAAGGCAGCCUCCUGGGAUAACACUGACGCUCAUGCACGAAAGCGUGGGGAGCAAACAGGAUUAGAUACCCUGGUAGUCCACGCCCUAAACGAUGUCAACUAGCUGUUGGGGCCUUCGGGCCUUGGUAGCGCAGCUAACGCGUGAAGUUGACCGCCUGGGGAGUACGGUC